CUCAUGACGAAGUCAACAUACUGAGGAGCAGUGCACUUGAUCUUCUUUCCCCGCUCAUCAUACCAGUAGUACUGUCUGUGGAGAGAAUUGACAGUGUCACCACAUUAUACCUCGGCUUCUCAGCAAAACUCCUUUAAGAGUUCUGUGAACAGAGUCCUCACAGGUCUUGGAGGAAGAGAGGAACCGCUGACAUGCCAUGAGCAUCUCACACCUGGUGCUCAGCUCCCACCCAUGCUGGAGUUAUCUCCUUUAACUAGACAGGAAGCAGGUUGAGGCCACUGAAGGGCUCUGUCGGGCACAGCAGGCUAACUGCAUUCCACCACUGGCACCGUGACAGUACAGUCCUGAAUUAGGCAACGAAUGGGAAGCAGAAAGGACAAGAUGAGACAAAAGCACUUUUCAGAAAGUGCUCAGGUGAUACAGAUUUUGAUUAUUUCCCGUGUAAAAUUCUGGCAGACUUAAAGUUUGCCAGUAUGGACAGCAAGAGGAAUUUGCAGCUCCACUCUAAAUCACAGGGAGAAAGGACUAUGAGUUUAACGGAGAAAAGCCUAUCAUGCAAAUAAUAUAGUACACGUGAUGUCACAAUACUGCA